rnacentral:rRNA from 1 species
UACGAAGGGGACUAGCGUUGUUCGGAAUUACUGGGCGUAAAGCACGCGUAGGCGGAUCGCUAAGUCAGGGGUGAAAUCCCAGGGCUCAACCCUGGAACUGCCUUUGAUACUGACGAUCUGGAGAUCGGGAGAGGUUGGUGGAAUUCCGAGUGUAGAGGUGAAAUUCGUAGAUAUUCGGAGGAACACCAGAAGCGAAGGCGGCCAACUGGCCCGAUACUGACGCUGAGGCGCGAAAGCGUGGGGAGCAAACAGG